AAACGGACGAGGAUCUGGCUUGGGACAGCGACAAUGACAGCAGCAGCUCUGUCUUGCAGUAUGCCGGGGUCCUGAAGAAGCUAGGACGGGGCCCAGCCAAGGCCAGUCCCCAGCCAGCACUGACUGUCAAAGCCAAGGCCACAAGCUCAGCGACAACGGCUGCUGCCCCGACACUGCGGCGCCUGGCGCUUUCCUCACGGUCUGGGCUUGAGAGGAAGCCGGAGUCCUUGUCUAAAGUCAGCAUCAUCAAGAGACUGGGCGCAGCUGCCCUUGUGCCCGAGGCCCAGGACAGCCAGGUCACCAGCACCAAGAGCCCGACUGUCCGCUGCGUCCUGCCCGACCCUCCUGUACCUCCGGCCUCCCAGCGGCCCCCUCGUCGGCGGUGGCGUCGAGCCUGUUGAGACUGUUAGCCGCCCUCUACUCCCAGGCUGGAGGGACCUCUCCAGACCCUGGGCUGCGGCUGAGGCGCAUCCGUUUUCCUGCCCUGGGCAUCUGUCUCUGAAAGUGUAUGGCGGGUGGUGGGCAAGGGGCACUGGGAAGGGAGGCCAGUGCCUAGAGUGAAGACAGCUGCUGUUUUAAUAUA
rnacentral:lncRNA from 1 species